CAUGUGUGUAACCAAGUCACUCACCAGCUAUAAUGAUUAUAACUUGAGUGAUGGUCGGAAUGAAAUUCGCCACUUUGAAGCCAAACUCGGAAAGAAGCAGAAACAGAAUUGGAUGAGCUGAUAUAGAAUUAGACAGGAAAAACGUAUUAUCAUUAUGAGAAUACAUUAUUACAGUACAGACCAUUGAUGCUGGAAGUGAGUGGAUAGUGUAACCGGAGACUCAGGGAUCC